rnacentral:rRNA from 1 species
UACAGAGGUCUCAAGCGUUUGUUCGGAUUCAUUGGGCGUAAAGGGUGCGUAGGUGGCGCUGUAAGUCGGGUGUGAAAUUUCGGAGCUUAACUCCGAAACUGCAUUCGAUACUGCGGUGCUUGAGGACUGGAGAGGAGACUGGAAUUCAUGGUGUAGCAGUGAAAUGCGUAGAGAUCAUGAGGAAGACCAGUGGCGAAGGCGGGUCUCUGGACAGUUCCUGACGCUGAGGCACGAAGGUCAGGGGAGCAAACGGG